ensembl:misc_RNA Metazoa_SRP Metazoan signal recognition particle RNA
GCCAGGUGUGGUGGCUCACACCUGUAAUCCCAGCACUUCGGAAGGCUGAGGCAGGUGGAUCACCUGAGGUCAGGAGUUCAAGACCUGCCUGACCAAUAUGGUGAAAUCCUGUCUCUA